rnacentral:rRNA from 1 species
UGCCAGCCGCCGCGGUAAUACAGGGGGUGCGAGCGUUAAUCGAAAUUACUGGGCGUAAAGCGUGCGCAGGCGGUUUGGUAAGUCAGAUGUGAAAUUCACCGGCUCAACCGGUCGAACUGCAUCCGAUACUGCCAGACUUGAGAUCAGUAGAGGAGAGUGGAAUUCCCAGUGUAGCGGUGGAAUGCGUAGAUAUUGGGAAGAACACCGGUGGCGAAGGCGGCUCUCUGGACUGAUUCUGACGCUGAGGCGCGAAAGCUAGGGGAGCGAACAGGAUUAGAUA